GAUAAUUCAAGGUUAAAAUUUAGGACCAUAAGCCAUGUACAUGAAUCAGUUUUGGAGGACUACAUAGGUGUAAAAGAAUCUAUUAUUGAAGUUGUCCUUCAAACCUUAAUUUAAUCAAAGUUGGUAUGAUUCCAUUCAUGUUACUGUCAUAUUAUUUGUUACACUCUUUUGUGUAUCUUUGCUCUCUCCAUUCACUGAAUACAUUAUCUUGGUCCUUCAUUUCUGAUGCCUCGAGGAUUUAUUCACUUUCUAUUAGUAGAAAGCCAUUGAAGCAACUUCAUAUCUGUUUCACUUCUCUAUCUCCUCUGGUGCAGUUUUGAGUAUUCUUCCUUGAAUGUUUAGGCCUUGUUUUGGCUGAGAUAAAAGACAUUUGCUAUUGUUCACCCUUGAAAAAUAAGAAAUCUAUUUUGAGUGUUAUUAAAAGAGGCAAAGCUGAAAAUAGGAACUGAACAUGUGAAGCAUAUCGAGUCACAACUUUUCAUGAUCCAUUUUAAGGACUUUUUCCUAAAUUUCAGCCCAAGGUCUGCCACCAGCCAUUGUCGAGGCACUUUCUUUGUCAUAUGC
rnacentral:lncRNA from 1 species